UUCAUCAAGUUUGAUUUAUUGUUGGAAUAGAAAAUGACAAAUCUCUGAGAAGUUCACAUUGUUAGCUCAUUUCAUUCAUAGAAAUCCUUUCUGUCUUUAUCUAUUUAUUUAUUUAUUUUACCGUUGACGAUUUUAUAACCUCCAAUUCUCUCCUAGGGAGUCAAAGUUCUUCCUGGCAUUGCCGAGUGUCAACAUGAUCAUCAUAACUACUUUGGAUAUUUAAACACGUCCAGACACACAGACACACACACACACACAUGUAUAUGAACACUUAUGAAAUGUAUGUACUAUUCGUGGUUUUUAUCUUAUUGUAAAAUACAUGAGAUUAGAAAUGUACCAGGACAUCAUAAAAGCACGGUGGAAGGAAGAGGGAAGGAGGAUUUAAAGAGGAGGGAAGGGGAGGGGAAGGAAGAUUGAAAGAGGAUUAAGGAGGAGGGGAACGAGGAGGGAAGAAUGAGGAUGGAAGAAGGAGGUGAAAAAGAAGGGAAGAAGGAGGAAAAGAGGAGGGAAGAAGGAGGUGAAAGAGGAGGGAAGAAGGAGGUGAAAGAGGAAG